UACAGAGGUCUCAAGCGUUGUUCGGAUUCAUUGGGCGUAAAGGGUGCGUAGGUGGCGGGGUUAGUCAGGUGUGAAAUCUCGGGGCUCAACCCCGAAACUGCACUUGAUACUGCCUUGCUAGAGUACUGGAGAGGAGAUUGGAAUUUACGGUGUAGCAGUGAAAUGCGUAGAUAUCGUAAGGAAGACCAGUGGCGAAGGCGAAUCUCUGGACAGUUACUGACGCUGAGGCACGAAGGCCAGGGGAGCAAACAGG
rnacentral:rRNA from 1 species